AUCGAACGCUGGCGGCAUGCCUUACACAUGCAAGUCGAACGGUAGAGGGGGCAACCCCUUGAGAGUGGCGAACGGGUGAGUAAUGCGUCGGAACGUGCCGAGUAAUGGGGGAUAACGCAUCGAAAGGUGUGCUAAUACCGCAUACGCUCUGAGGAGGAAAGCUGGGGAUCGAAAGACCUGGCGUUAUUCGAGCGGCCGACGUCUGAUUAGCUAGUUGGUGAGGUAAAGGCUCACCAAGGCGACGAUCAGUAGCGGGUCUGAGAGGAUGAUCCGCCACACUGGGACUGAGACACGGCCCAGACUCCUACGGGAGGCAGCAGUGGGGAAUUUUGGACAAUGGGGGCAACCCUGAUCCAGCCAUGCCGCGUGUCUGAAGAAGGCCUUCGGGUUGUAAAGGACUUUUGUUAGGGAGCAAGUCCUGCAGGUUAAGAGCUAGUAGGGAUGAGAGUACCUAAAGAAUAAGCACCGGCUAACUACGUGCCAGCAGCCGCCGUAAAAC
rnacentral:rRNA from 1 species